rnacentral:lncRNA from 1 species
UAGCAAUUAGAGAUGGCCUAUAAAUGGGAUGUGCACAAGAAAGAAGAUCUUACUCUGGCAGGAGAGAAUUAAGAUCAGUAAGGAAGUCACACAAGCAACAGGUGUCCAAGUGGUUCUCCACAAGUCAGCUUGCAUUCUGAAUGAGACAAGAAAAAAUGACUCGCAGGGGCAUGUCAUGAACAAGAUGAAAAAUUGUGUUGCUUCACCUUGA